UUAAGUUCAGCGGGUAUUCCUACCUGAUCCGAGGUCAACCUUGUGGGGUACGGGGCCCGGGGGCGCCCGUGGGUUUUACGGCCGGUGACCCGCCGGACGCCGCGAGCGAGGGGUGUUACUGCGCUCGGGGUCUCGGUCGGGACCGCCACUGGAUUUCGGGGGCUGCGGCCCGGAGGCCGCAGGACACCCCAACACCAAGC
rnacentral:misc_RNA from 1 species